rnacentral:rRNA from 1 species
GAUGAACGCUAGCGGGAGGCCUAACACAUGCAAGCCGAGCGGUAGAGUUCCUUCGGGGACUUGAGAGCGGCGGACGGGUGCGUAACACGUGUGCAACCUACCUUUAUCUUGGGGAGAGCCUUUCCAAAGGAAGAUUAAUACCCCAAAAUAUUAUGAUUGGCAUCCAUUAUUAUUGAAAACUCCGGAUGAUAUAGCUGGGCACGAGCAAGAUUACAUAGUUGGUGAGGUAACUGCUCACCAAGUCAAUGAUCUUUAGGGGGCCUGAGAGGGAGAUCGCCCACACUGGUACUGAGACACGGACCAGACGCCUGCGGGAGGCAGCAGUGAGGAAGAUUGGGCAAUGAGUGAAAGCCUGAUCCAGCCAGCCCGCGUGAAGGAUGACGGUCCUAUGGAUUGUAAACUUCUGUUGUACAGGGAGAAACCUACUCUCGGGAGGGUAGCUGAAGGUACUGUACGAAUAAGCACCGGCUAACUCCGUG